CUGCUGACCGACUCCCAACUUAGUCCGUCCCGAAUCAUUGGGCUUGAAUCAGCCCAUUCGGGGGACCUUUCAUCGGCCGGCAUGGCUUAAAUUCGGCCGGCGGGGGCUUCAACAUUGGGAGCCUCGAUCGCCUCGACGCAGCAGUUUGAUU